GUGGCAAUGCAAAUACCGAGAUUGCAUACGUGCCCGGGCGAAAAUACAAGUCUGUAAAACCGUUACAAUGCGUCGUGUGCACGAGGAGCGCCCACACAAUGUGUCGCGUGACGGCAAAACGUAACGAGAAAAGUUGUCGGUUCCUAGCUCCGGGACUGUUGCUGCGGCAAGACGUGCCUAUAUAAAGUAUCGUAGACCGUUCGCG